UACGUAGGGGGCAAGCGUUGUCCGGAUUUAUUGGGCGUAAAGAGCUCGUAGGUGGUUUGGUAAGUCGGAUGUGAAAUCUCCAGGCUCAACCUGGAGGGGUCAUUCGAUACUGCCAUACUAGAGGUCGGUAGGGGAGUGGUGGAAUUCCCGGUGUAGCGGUGAAAUGCGUAGAGAUCGGGAGGAACACCAGUGGCGAAGGCGGCUACCUGGACCAGCAC
rnacentral:rRNA from 1 species